CAGUCGCCACGGGAAUACCAGCACCUCGAGUGGUCAGGAGGUUUAUUGGGCCUAAAGCAUCCGUAGCCGGUUGCAUAAGUUUUCGGUUAAAUCUAUGCGCUUAACGUAUAGGCCGCCGAAAAUACUGUGCAGCUAGGGAGUGGGAGAGGUACACGGUACUCGAUAGGAAGGGGUAAAAUCCUUUGAUCUAUUGAUGACCACCUGUGGCGAAGGCGGUGUACCAGAACACGUUCGACGGUGAGGGAUGAAAGCUGGGGGAGCAAACAGGAUUAGAUACCCCUGUAGUCCCUGUCUCUUAUAC
rnacentral:rRNA from 1 species